GACGAACGCUGGCGGCGUGCUUAACACAUGCAAGUCGAACGGGCCCGCCCCUGUUUUUGGGGGUGGGUUGAGUGGCGAACGGGUGAGUAUCACGUGAGUAACCUGCCCCCUGCUCCUGGAUAACUGCUUGAAAGGGCGGCUAAUACGGGGUGUGCCGGCUGGUCCGCAUGGGCCUGGUCGGGAUAGUUUCAUCUUCGGGUGUUUCGGUGGGGGAUGGGCUCGCGGCCUAUCAGCUUGUUGGUGGGGUGAUGGCCCACCAAGGCGGUGACGGGUAGCCGGCCUGAGAGGGUGGGCGGCCACACGGGGACUGAGACACGGCCCAGACUCCUGCGGGAGGCAGCAGUGGGGGGUAUUGCACAAUGGGCGGAAGCCUGAUGCAGCGACGUCGCGUGAGGGAUGGAGGCCUUCGGGUUGUGAACCUCUUUCUCCGGUGGUGAAGGCCCUGUCCGUUGCGGCGGGGUUGACGGUAGCCGGGUAUGAAGCGCCGGCUAACUACGUG
rnacentral:rRNA from 1 species